UUUCUUUGUUGAUAUAGUUUUGUUAGUUCUUACAUAGUAACCUUCCAGUUCAAAGGGUUUUAAAAUAAAAGUAUUUACCAACUCUGCCCUUAAGCAAAACAUAAUUUAACAAAUGAACAGGGAUAAAAUGUGAAGAACAAAAGUACAAACAAAAUUCUUCUUAAGUAUUCAAUAUCAGUGUGAAAGGUGACACUGACUGAAGAGUACUUUUGGUUUGUAUAAAGUAUUAUUAUUUAAAGUUUUCAAAAAUCUCCCCAAAUUUGCUAUGCCCAUAUAAAUAUACACAGAAUACAAAGCCAAAUAAAAUGUUUUAAAGUACAGAUGAAAAUUGACUACAGUUCAAAAAUGAGAGAAAAAAGAUUUUUAUAAUCUAUUAAAUUAUGCACCAUUUGAUUUUUUUAAAAUGCACAGGUGUAACUUCUACUUACACAUCUCCAAAGAUACUUUAGGUGGGAUGAAAAAUGUUAAGAUUCUGCUAUUCUGGCUAUUUAUCUUUAGGAGAAAGAAGACUUUUUAACAAAAGUUUGGAGAGAAGGAGUAAUCAAUUUAAAGUUACAAAGUUAUAACUGAGAACACAUUCACUACAAACAUAGUCACUCAAUUAGACUUCAAAAAUGACUCUCGGAUUAUAUACCAUUGUGUAAAUGACCACUGG
rnacentral:lncRNA from 1 species